rnacentral:antisense_RNA from 1 species
CUUGACCGACCCCAGGUACACGGGACGGUCCGCGGGCCGGUCCUGGCCAUAGGUGGCCAGCAGUGCCUCGGCCUC